GACGAACGCUGGCGGCGUGCCUAAUACAUGCAAGUAGAACGCUGAAGGAGGAGCUUGCUUCUCUGGAUGAGUUGCGAACGGGUGAGUAACGCGUAGGUAACCUGCCUGGUAGCGGGGGAUAACUAUUGGAAACGAUAGCUAAUACCGCAUAAGAUUGACUAUUGCAUGAUAGUCAGUUAAAAGGUGCAAUUGCAUCACUACCAGAUGGACCUGCGUUGUAUUAGCUAGUUGGUGGGGUAACGGCUCACCAAGGCGACGAUACAUAGCCGACCUGAGAGGGGGAUCGGCCACACUGGGACUGAGACACGGCCCAGACGCCUACGGGAGGCAGCAGUAGGGAAUCUUCGGCAAUGGACGGAAGUCUGACCGAGCAACGCCGCGGGAGUGAAGAAGGUUGUCGGAUCGUAAAGCUCUGUUGUAAGAGAAGAACGAGUGUGAGAGUGGAAAGUUCACACUGUGACGGUAGCUUACCAGAAAGGGACGGCUAACUACGUG
rnacentral:rRNA from 1 species